rnacentral:rRNA from 1 species
CAGCCGCCGCGGUAAUACAGAGGGUGCAAGCGUUAAUCGGAAUUACUGGGCGUAAAGCGCGCGUAGGUGGUUUGUUAAGUUGGAUGUGAAAGCCCCGGGCUCAACCUGGGAACUGCAUCCAAAACUGGCAAGCUAGAGUACGGUAGAGGGUGGUGGAAUUUCCUGUGUAGCGGUGAAAUGCGUAGAUAUAGGAAGGAACACCAGUGGAGAAGGCGACCACCUGGACUGAUACUGACACUGAAGUGCGAAAGCGUGGGGAGCAAACAGGAUUAGAUACCCCUGUAGUCCCUGUCUCUUAUAC